AGUGAACGCUGGCGGUAGGCCUAACACAUGCAAGUCGAACGGCAGCACAGUAAGAGCUUGCUCUUACGGGUGGCGAGUGGCGGACGGGUGAGGAAUACAUCGGAAUCUACUUUUUCGUGGGGGAUAACGUAGGGAAACUUACGCUAAUACCGCAUACGACCUACGGGUGAAAGCAGGGGAUCUUCGGACCUUGCGCGAUUGAAUGAGCCGAUGUCGGAUUAGCUAGUUGGAGGGGUAAAGGCCCACCAAGGCGGCGAACCGUAGCUGGUCUGGGAGGAUGAUCAGCCACACUGGAACUGAGACACGGUCCAGGCUCCUACGGGAGGCAGCAGUGGGGAAUAUUGGACAAAGGGCGCAAGCCUGAUCCAGCCAUACCGCGUGGGUGAAGAAGGCCUUCGGGUUGUAAAGCCCUUUUGUGGGGAAAGAAAAGCAGCAGGUUAAUACCCCGCUGUUCUGACGGUACCCAAAGAAUAAGCACCGGCUAACUUCGUG
rnacentral:rRNA from 1 species